AAAUUGCGCUUGCCGUCGACGAUGAACUCGACAGUUCCGGCGGAGAAAUAGCCGACGGCUUUGGCCAAGGCGACGGCCUGUUCGCCCAUGGCCUUACGUGUCGCG
rnacentral:misc_RNA from 1 species